ACGUGGAUAAUCUGCCCUGCACAGGGGGACAACAGCUAGAAAUGGCUGCUAAUACCGCAUAAGCCUACAGCCUCGCAUGAGGGAGUAGGAAAAGAAAUUCGGUGCAGGAUGAGUCCGCGUCUGAUUAGCUAGUUGGAGGGGUAAAAGCCCACCAAGGCAACGAUCAGUAGCCGGCCUGAGAGGGCGACCGGCCACAUUGGGACUGAGACACGGCCCAAACUCCUACGGAAGGCAGCAG
rnacentral:rRNA from 1 species